rnacentral:rRNA from 1 species
AGCGAACGCUGGCGGCAGGCCUAACACAUGCAAGUCGAACGAACCCUUCGGGGUUAGUGGCGGACGGGUGAGUAACACGUGGGAACGUGCCUUUAGGUUCGGAAUAACUCAGGGAAACUUGUGCUAAUACCGAAUGUGCCCUUCGGGGGAAAGAUUUAUCGCCUUUAGAGCGGCCCGCGUCUGAUUAGCUAGUUGGUGAGGUAAUGGCUCACCAAGGCUACGAUCAGUAGCUGGUUUGAGAGGAUGACCAGCCACAUUGGGACUGAGACACGGCCCAAGCUCCUACGGGAGGCAGCAGUGGGGAAUCUUGCGCAAUGGGCGAAAGCCUGACGCAGCCAUGCCGCGUGGAUGAUGAAGGUCUUAGGAUUGUAAAAUCCUUUCACCGGUGAAGAUAAUGACUGUAGCCGGAGAAGAAGCCCCGGCUAACUUCGUGCCAGCAGCCGCCGUAACAC